CGAACGCUGGCGGCGUGCCUAAUACAUGCAAGUCGAGCGGACAGAAGGGAGCUUGCUCCCGGAUGUUAGCGGCGGACGGGUGAGUAACACGUGGGUAACCUGCCUGUAAGACUGGGAUAACUCCGGGAAACCGGAGCUAAUACCGGAUAGUUCCUUGAACCGCAUGGUUCAAGGAUGAAAGACGGUUUCGGCUGUCACUUACAGAUGGACCCGCGGCGCAUUAGCUAGUUGGUGAGGUAACGGCUCACCAAGGCGACGAUGCGUAGCCGACCUGAGAGGGUGAUCGGCCACACUGGGACUGAGACACGGCCCAGACUCCUACGGGAGGCAGCAGUAGGGAAUCUUCCGCAAUGGACGAAAGUCUGACGGAGCAACGCCGCGUGAGUGAUGAAGGUUUUCGGAUCGUAAAGCUCUGUUGUUAGGGAAGAACAAGUGCAAGAGUAACUGCUUGCACCUUGACGGUACCUAACCAGAAAGCCACGGCUAACUACGUGCCAGCAGCCGCGGUAAUACGUAGGUGGCAAGCGUUGUCCGGAAUUAUUGGGCGUAAAGGGCUCGCAGGCGGUUUCUUAAGUCUGAUGUGAAAGCCCCCGGCUCAACCGGGGAGGGUCAUUGGAAACUGGGAAACUUGAGUGCAGAAGAGGAGAGUGGAAUUCCACGUGUAGCGGUGAAAUGCGUAGAGAUGUGGAGGAACACCAGUGGCGAAGGCGACUCUCUGGUCUGUAACUGACGCUGAGGAGCGAAAGCGUGGGGAGCGAACAGGAUUAGAUACCCUGGUAGUCCACGCCGUAAACGAUGAGUGCUAAGUGUUAGGGGGUUUCCGCCCCUUAGUGCUGCAGCUAACGCAUUAAGCACUCCGCCUGGGGAGUACGGUCGCAAGACUGAAACUCAAAGGAAUUGACGGGGGCCCGCACAAGCGGUGGAGCAUGUGGUUUAAUUCGAAGCAACGCGAAGAACCUUACCAGGUCUUGACAUCCUCUGACAACCCUAGAGAUAGGGCUUUCCCUUCGGGGACAGAGUGACAGGUGGUGCAUGGUUGUCGUCAGCUCGUGUCGUGAGAUGUUGGGUUAAGUCCCGCAACGAGCGCAACCCUUGAUCUUAGUUGCCAGCAUUCAGUUGGGCACUCUAAGGUGACUGCCGGUGACAAACCGGAGGAAGGUGGGGAUGACGUCAAAUCAUCAUGCCCCUUAUGACCUGGGCUACACACGUGCUACAAUGGACAGAACAAAGGGCUGCGAGACCGCAAGGUUUAGCCAAUCCCACAAAUCUGUUCUCAGUUCGGAUCGCAGUCUGCAACUCGACUGCGUGAAGCUGGAAUCGCUAGUAAUCGCGGAUCAGCAUGCCGCGGUGGAUACGUUCCCGGGCCUUGUACACACCGCCCGUCACACCACGAGAGUUUGCAACACCCGAAGUCGGUGAGGUAACCUUUAUGGAGCCAGCCGCCGAAGUGGGGCAGAUGAUUGGGGUGAGC
rnacentral:rRNA from 1 species